ensembl:snoRNA LOC120100403 small nucleolar RNA SNORA48
UUCCCCCAGUGGGCGGAGAGACACCUGGUUGGUGGUGUUGUUACAUCAGUCAGGGGCAGAGCAGGUGGCAGGCCUUUGUCAUUCUAGCUUGAUGUCUGGCUUGGUGGCCAAAGCUGUUUCAUGCCUAGGACACAUAA